rnacentral:lncRNA from 1 species
GAUGUGGAGAAUUGGGUUCUUGCACCACCAAGGAUUUUAGGACAGGUGUACAGUUCUCAAAGACGCUGAAUUACUCACCUCCAGUUAUGAACAACAUUUUCUCUUUUCCCCAGUACGAUAGAUAAUAUUAUACAGGAAUGCAACUGGUAGGAUCUUUCCACAAAGAUCAAGAGUGCAAGGAAGCAGGAGGCUCAAAUUGUCCACAGUCAGGUAUAAUGAAGUUGUGCAGAAAAAAACAAAAAUCAACACUUAUUUGAACACUGGACUUAAAUGAUUUAAGAAGUUCAAGGUUGACUUUACUUCCAAUAGUAAGGUUUGAUGUGUGUUUUUCUAUGUGUUGCCUACUCUCUUCCCUUC